AUUGAACGCUGGCGGCAGGCCUAACACAUGCAAGUCGAACGAGUGGCACACGGGUGAGUAAUGUCUGGGAAACUGCCUGAUGGAGGGGGAUCACUACUGGAAACGGUAGCUAAUACCGCAUACCAUCGGAUGUGCCCAGAUGGCAUUAGCUCGUGGGUGGGGUAAAGGCUAACCUAGGAGACGAUCCAUAGCUGGUCUGAGAGGAUGAAUGGCCACACUGGAACUGAGACACGGGCAAGACACCGACGGGCGGCAGAAUGUGGGAAGAUUGCACAAUGGGCGCAAGCGUGAUACAGCUAUGCCGAGUGGAUGAAGAAGGCCUUCGGUUUGUAAAGUACUGUCAGCGGGGAAGCGGUACCCGCAGAAGAAGCACCGGCUAACUCCGUGCCAGCAGCCGCGGUAAUAC
rnacentral:rRNA from 1 species